UACGAAGGGGGCGAGCGUUGUUCGGAAUUACUGGGCGUAAAGCGCACGUAGGCGGCUUUGUAAGUUAGAGGUGAAAGCCCGGGGCUCAACUCCGGAACUGCCUUUAAGACUGCAUCGCUUGAAUCAUGGAGAGGUUAGUGGAAUUCCGAGUGUAGAGGUGAAAUUCGUAGAUAUUCGGAAGAACACCGGUGGCGAAGGCGGUUCUCUGGGCAUUACCUGACGCUGAGACGCGAAAGCGUGGGGAGCAAACAGG
rnacentral:rRNA from 1 species